rnacentral:rRNA from 1 species
GACGAACGCUGGCGGCGUGCUUAACACAUGCAAGUCGAACGAGGUUCAACCGAUCUUCGGAUUGGUGAAGACCUAGUGGCGAACGGGUGCGUAACACGUGAGGAACCUACCCCAGUCUCUGGAAUAACAAGCGGAAACGUUUGCUAAUACCGGAUGUCGUCGGGCCACCACAUGGCGGCUCGACAAAAGAUUUAUCGGGUUGGGAGGGUCUCGCGGCCUAUCAGCUAGUUGGUGAGGUAACGGCUCACCAAGGCAUCGACGGGUAGCUGGUCUGAGAGGAUGAUCAGCCACACUGGGACUGAGACACGGCCCAGACACCUACGGGAGGCAG